UACAGAGACUGCAAGCGUUAUUCGGAUUCACUGGGCGUAAAGGGUGCGCAGGUGGCCAAGUGUGUGAGGCGUGAAAGCCCGGGGCUUAACCCCGGAAUUGCACCUCAAACUACAUGGCUAGAGCAUUGGAGAGGGGAGCAGAAUUCACGGUGUAGCAGUGAAAUGCGUAGAUAUCGUGAGGAAUACCAGAGGCGAAGGCGGCUACCUGGACAAUUGCUGACGCUCAGGCACGAAAGCGUGGGGAGCAAAAGGG
rnacentral:rRNA from 1 species